GCGAACGGGUGAGUAACACGUGGGCAAUCUGCCCUGCACUCUGGGACAAGCCCUGGAAACGGGGUCUAAUACCGGAUACGACACAGGGAGGCAUCUCCUCUGGGUGGAAAGCUCCGGCGGUGCAGGAUGAGCCCGCGGCCUAUCAGCUUGUUGGUGAGGUAACGGCUCACCAAGGCGACGACGGGUAGCCGGCCUGAGAGGGCGACCGGCCACACUGGGACUGAGACACGGCCCAGACUCCUACGGGAGGCAGCAGUGGGGAAUAUUGCACAAUGGGCGCAAGCCUGAUGCAGCGACGCCGCGUGAGGGAUGACGGCCUUCGGGUUGUAAACCUCUUUCAGCAGGGAAGAAGCGCAAGUGACGGUACCUGCAGAAGAAGCGCCGGCUAACUACGUGCCAGCAGCCGCGGUAAUACGUAGGGCGCAAGCGUUGUCCGGAAUUAUUGGGCGUAAAGAGCUCGUAGGCGGCUUGUCGCGUCGGUUGUGAAAGCCCGGGGCUUAACUCCGGGUCUGCAGUCGAUACGGGCAGGCUAGAGUUCGGUAG
rnacentral:rRNA from 1 species